GAAAGCAUCAAACAAGCACACACACACCCAAGCUCUCACUAUCAAUAUGUUGUAUGUAGUAUUGCAGAGACCAUUAGCAGGUAUAUUAAUAACUGACUUCUACGUUCUCAAUCUACGAACUAUCUUUGCCCAGAGAUUCGUUCAGCAAAGAUGAAACUAGUCGGAACAUUAGUGUACAUAGUACUCGGAUUUCUGUUAAUAAGCAGCACCAUCCUUGCAGAGCAGAACACCUUCAGGGGAGAUGAUCACAGUUCACGAUAUCUUGGUAGAUCCAAGACAAGAGAAAGAGAGCUAGAGAAGAGAAAAAUUAACGAAGGUCUUUAUUCUGAGAGCAGAGAAUUGCAUACUAGAGUUUAAUUAUUUUGUAUUUGCCUAAUUUGCUACGAAAUUUAAAAAAUAUAUAUUAGAAGGUUUUAAUUGUAA